rnacentral:rRNA from 1 species
AAUUCGAAGCAACGCGAAGAACCUUACCAGGUCUUGACAUCCCGAUGCUAUUUCUAGAGAUAGAAAGUUACUUCGGUACAUCGGUGACAGGUGGUGCAUGGUUGUCGUCAGCUCGUGUCGUGAGAUGUUGGGUUAAGUCCCGCAACGAGCGCAACCCCUAUUGUUAGUUGCCAUCAUUCAGUUGGGCACUCUAGCGAGACUGCCGGUAAUAAACCGGAGGAAGUGGGGAUGACGUCAAAUCAUCAUGCCCCUUAUGACCUGGGCUACACACGUGCUACAAUGGUUGGUACAACGAGUUGCGAGUCGGUGACGGCGAGCUAACCUCUUAAAGCCAAUCUCAGUUCGGAUUGUAGGCUGCAACUCGCCUACAUGAAGUCGGGAUCGCUAGUAAUCGCGGAUCAGCACGCCGCGGUGAAUACGUUCCCGGGCCUU